AGAUCAAGACACUAAGGCUGAAGAACUACCGUCUGCUGUGCAAAAUGAUAAAUAUGAUGAUUAUUACUUCGAAAGUAAUGAUCAUAAAUGUUCUUCACUGAGCUGUGUCACCCCGCUGCAGUCGAUGGACUCGCCUGGAGGUCUCCGUACAAAGAAGAGGCUACUGUAAGAGAGUGGGUAAGUUGUGUUUAGUCUUUUUACUAAAGAAAUUAGGCAAAGCUAAAAAGAUGUUUGGUGGCUAGUGCUGUGUCUGGGACCCUAUAUGUACUGUUGAUGAAGUUAGAUGCUGUUCUGAGUAUUAUUUGUGGCUAUAGAGUGGCGUUUUGGUUAAGCGCAUGUUUCCUGGGACCGAUGUGUAUUGCUAUUGUGCGGUCGUUACUAAAGUAAGAAGUAAGCAUUCGGCAACAUUAAUCUCUCGACCGGAUGUCUAACUCUGUGUUAUGGUGUGUUUGACCCUAACUUAAUUUUACGCCGGAAUACUCCUUUAACACUUUAAACUUCAUCAAAGCUACUGUUUUGCAGGGACAUGAUGGAAAGGGUCACAGCCUCAGGACCCAUACCAGUAAUUGUUUCGUAAAAGUUAAGUCACGAGUUUUGGAGUAAGCCAGAAAAAUGUACACAGUCAAUAUCUGGGUAAAUCUGUAGACCAUUAAUGAAUGCUGUGUCUUCCUAAUUGAUGGAAACAAGUUGUGAAAUCACGUUUGGUAACGCAUGCAUGGCCUCUGGGAAUGUGCAUCAAUGCAGAACAGGAGCAGCUUCAACGUUCUAACUUAAAGCAAGAGGAGUUAAAUACUGGUUGUGAAACUGAUUAAAAUUGCUAUUGCUUUCUUUUUUUUAGUGGACAAAAUCAAACAAAACUAUCAAGGACAGAAUUCGCUGAAGUUCUCUGCAAGAGGGGUAGGUGUCAGACCAGACAGCACACAGCAGAAACAGCCUCUUUGAAAUUCAACAUCACAUAUUGUAAAGACUAUGGGUGAUAUUAUUCUCCAGAAAAUACCAUGUCUUGACAUAUAGAGGAUAAUCGGCAAAGUUCGGAUACAUGUUUUCUCUGACAUAAACCCAGAGUUCCUCAAAAAAGCUUUAACUCCAAUUUUAUGUUUUUCUGAUCUUAAAAGACUAAAGUUUUUCAUGUACCUUACAAAAAACAAAAAACAAGUGUAUUUUAACAUUGAACAAGUAUGCAAAGCAAAGUUGUUUCCAUGUACAUUGUUAAUAAAAUGACGCUGUACUUUUGAAAGGCAAAUAUAAUCAGUGAGAAGAAAAGAUACGACAAAAAUAUCUCCUUAUUGUCCAGACUGCCUUAGAAGACUUCUUACUGUCUGUGUUUUGGUUCGACCUGGAUUCCCCGAUGCACAGUAGUGAGGAAACAGGAGGCCUUUGAACAGGAGGUUACACAAGCAUCCGUGUGGCGCCACGCACUCCCUACACCUUCCAGCGCUUUUAUUUUCCUGUUUUUAUGUAUGACAAAGGACAGGGACAUGGUGUACACAGACGACUAUAAAAGCCAUCAAGCUUCAGCACACUGACUCUAACCUUUCAUAACAACGCACUCCAUUAUCUUCUCUCUUUUGACUGAUGGAGAUUGAUGGGACUCUGCCACUUGUUCACUCACUCACAGCACCGUCCUCCUCCUCCUCCUACAGGGAACAAUAGUGGCAUGACGGUGACCAUAAAGAGCGUUUCUGUUUUUUAGGGGCUGAAAAUACAACAUAUGAUCUUCCCUUUUGCUUUCUCUUUCACAGUUGGCCAAAUAGACAAGCGGGGCACCAUCUUUGAGG